GUGUAAGUAUCUUCCGAUUUGUCGUAUGGGAAAGGGAAAGAAGAAGGCUAGGGUUCCGGUGGAGAAUUUUGAAGAAGACGCCGAUUCCGAUGACGUUGAAAUGAAUGGAAAUGAAGAGAAUAUGAACGGAUCUUCUUCUAGCGAAAAGAGUCUUUAUGAGAUUCUUGGGGUUGAAACAACAGCAUCCCAGCAGGAAAUAAAGAAGGCAUAUUACAAGCUGGCUCUGCG
rnacentral:misc_RNA from 1 species